rnacentral:rRNA from 1 species
UGCCUAUACAUGCAAGUCGAGCGAACAGAUGAGAAGCUUGCUUCUCUGAUGUUAGCGGCGGACGGGUGAGUAACACGUGGGUAACCUACCUAUAAGACUGGGAUAACUCCGGGAAACCGGGGCUAAUACCGGAUAAUAUUUUGAACCGCAUGGUUCGAUAGUGAAAGACGGUUUCGGCUGUCACUUAUAGAUGGACCCGCGCCGUAUUAGCUAGUUGGUAAGGUAACGGCUUACCAAGGCGACGAUACGUAGCCGACCUGAGAGGGUGAUCGGCCACACUGGAACUGAGACACGGUCCAGACUCCUACGGGAGGCAGCAGUAGGGAAUCUUCCGCAAUGGGCGAAAGCCUGACGGAGCAACGCCGCGUGAGUGAUGAAGGUCUUCGGAUCGUAAAACUCUGUUGUUAGGGAAGAACAAAUUUGUUAGUAACUGAACAAGUCUUGACGGUACCUAACCAGAAAGCCACGGCUAACUACGUGCCAGCAGCCGCGGUAAUACGUAGGUGGCAAGCGUUAUCCGGAAUUAUUGGGCGUAAAGCGCGCGUAGGCGGUUUCUUAAGUCUGAUGUGAAAGCCCACGGCUCAACCGUGGAGGGUCAUUGGAAACUGGGAAACUUGAGUGCAGAAGAGGAGAGUGGAAUUCCAUGUGUAGCGGUGAAAUGCGCAGAGAUAUGGAGGAACACCAGUGGCGAAGGCGGCUCUCUGGUCUGUAACUGACGCUGAUGUGCGAAAGCGUGGAGAUCAGACAGGAUUAGAUACGCUGGUAGUCCACGCCGUAAACGAUGAGUGCUAAGUGUUAGGUGGUUUCCGCCCCUUAGUGCUGCAGCUAACGCAUUAAGCACUCCGCCUGGGGAGUACGACCGCAAGGUUGAAACUCAAAGGAAUUGACGGGGACCCGCACAAGCGGUGGAGCAUGUGGUUUAAUUCGAAGCAACGCGAAGAACCUUACCAAAUCUUGACAUCCUUUGACCGCUCUAGAGAUAGAGUCUUCCCCUUCGGGGGACAAAGUGACAGGUGGUGCAUGGUUGUCGUCAGCUCGUGUCGUGAGAUGUUGGGUUAAGUCCCGCAACGAGCGCAACCCUUAGCUUAGUUGCCAUCAUUAAGUUGGGCACUCUAGGUUGACUGCCGGUGACAAACCGGAGGAAGGUGGGGAUGACGUCAAAUCAUCAUGCCCCUUAUGAUUUGGGCUACACACGUGCUACAAUGGAUAAUACAAAGGGCAGCGAAUCCGCGAGGCCAAGCAAAUCCCAUAAAAUUAUUCUCAGUUCGGAUUGUAGUCUGCAACUCGACUACAUGAAGCUGGAAUCGCUAGUAAUCGUAGAUCAGCAUGCUACGGUGAAUACGUUCCCGGGUCUUGUACACACCGCCCGUCACACCACGAGAGUUUGUAACACCCGAAGCCGGUGGAGUAACCUUUUAGGAGCUAGCCGUUCGAAGGUGGACAAAAU